rfam:Glossina austeni unplaced genomic scaffold Scaffold39, whole genome shotgun sequence.
AGUUUUUAGCACGUAGGCGCCAUGGAUGGCGAAUCGUGCAUACUGCUACUAAGAACCAGCAGUAUCUUGCGAAGAUUUUCU